rnacentral:rRNA from 1 species
GGUUGAUCCUGCCAGUAGUCAUAUGCUUGUCUCAAAGAUUAAGCCAUGCAUGUCUCAGUGUAAACUUAUAAACAGUGAAACUGCGAAUGGCUCAUUAGAACAGUUAUAGUUUAUUUGAUGUUCAUUGCUACAUGGAUAACCGUGGGAAUUCUAGGGCUAAUACAUGCGUAAAAACCUGACUUACGGAGGGUUGUGUUUAUUAGAUCAAAAACCAUCACCAAGCUUGCUUGGACCUAAUGGAAAGAUAAUAACCG